rnacentral:rRNA from 1 species
UACGUAGGGUGCAAGCGUUGUCCGGAAUUAUUGGGCGUAAAGAGCUCGUAGGCGGCUUGUCACGUCUGCUGUGAAAACUCGGGGCUCAACCCCGAGCCUGCAGUGGAUACGGGCUAGCUAGAGUGCGGUAGGGGGAGACUGGAAUUCCCGGUGUAGCGGUGAAAUGCGCAGAUAUCGGGAGGAACACCGGUGGCGAAGGCGGGUCUCUGGGCCGAUACUGACGCUGAGGAGCGAAAGCGUGGGGAGCGAACAGG